rnacentral:rRNA from 1 species
UUUAAAGAGACUGCCGGUGUUAAACCGGAGGAAGUGGGGAUGACGUCAAGUCCUCAUGGCCCUUAUAGUGGGGCUACACACGUCAUACAAUGGCCGGUACAGAGGGUAGCCAACCCGCAGGGGGAGCCAAUCCCAGAAAGCCGGUCUCAGUUCGGAUUGGGGUCUGCAACUCGACCCCAUGAAGUCGGAAGUCGCUAGUAAUCGCAGAUCAGCAACGCUGCGGUCGAAUACGUUCCCGGGCCUU